GAUGAACGCUGGCGGCGUGCCUAAUACAUGCAAGUCGAGCGAAUGGAUUAAGAGCUUGCUCUUAUGAAGUUAGCGGCGGACGGGUGAGUAACACGUGGGUAACCUGCCCAUAAGACUGGGAUAACUCCGGGAAACCGGGGCUAAUACCGGAUAACAUUUUGAACCGCAUGGUUCGAAAUUGAAAGGCGGCUUCGGCUGUCACUUAUGGAUGGACCCGCGUCGCAUUAGCUAGUUGGUGAGGUAACGGCUCACCAAGGCAACGAUGCGUAGCGGACCUGGGAGGGUGAUCGGCCACACUGGGACUGAGACACGGCCCAGACUCCUACGGGAGGCAGCAGUAGGGAAUCUUCCGCAAUGGACGAAAGUCUGACGGAGCAACGCCGCGUGAGUGAUGAAGGCUUUCGGGUCGUAAAACUCUGUUGUUAGGGAAGAACAAGUGCUAGUUGAAUAAGCUGGCACCUUGACGGUACCUAACCAGAAAGCCACGGCUAACUACGCGCCAGCAGCCGCCGUAA
rnacentral:rRNA from 1 species